CAAAGGAGAGCCUCUAAAAUUAUCAGUACUGAACCGGUGGGGGAGGAAGGAAGAGAUGCUAUGAGCCGAUUGAGCAACAGAACGGAAAAGACCCAACCUUCUCCGACCUAUCGCCUUUCCUUUUUUUCCAAAGAGAAUCACCAUUGGCCGGGCACGGGGUUAAAGGAAUUAUAGUCCCAUCUGGGGGGCUCCUCCAGGUUGGGGGGGGGAGCUCGAAGCAGCUCAGAGCCAAUAGCUGACAGACUGUCGGACCGGUGCGCCCCCAAGUAUGCGUCAAACUUGGGGAAGCCGGGACGGAUUCUGGGACUUGCAAAGAGUAGGAAUGCGGCAUUGCCGGAAAUGCUGGGGUUCACACGCCGAUUGCAAAGAAAAGGAUGGGAGCGCCGAGGAUCGGCGGCGCGCGGACGUUAGCUGCCCCCGACCCCAUCCGAGAGGGGUGAGAACAAGGCGUGGAAGCCCAAACCUUUGACUGGCACGAAGGGAAUCUCACCCCAGACGUGUUUCUCGCCCCUCCCAGCGUGGAGUGGCUCCCUUCUGGCUUUGGAGGCUCACGUGCUCGAGUUAUUUCGGGGUUAGUGCUUGUUCUGCUCGAUGUAGGAAUAAAUAGCGAAAACUCGGCGCGAUCCAGUCAUGGAGAUAAGUUUCAGUUCGGUUACAAGAGAGAUUUGGGUCUUUGAUGUCCCAUCAGUUUUCCAGCACACUGGUUCCUCCUGAUGGAGAGGAGAAAGCUGGUAACACUGGGCGCUCCCUUCUUCUCUUGCCAGUGUGCGGAGGAAUGGGGACUACACUGCCCUCUCCCGCCCUUUGGAGUCUUUCUGCCUGCCGUAGGUUCCUGUGCUGUUAAAGGAGGAGCUCUGCUUCGAGUUUUGCUGCAAACUCAUUUACUUGGGAAGAGGCUUUCAUUGUCUUCUGAUCGAUCCGCUGGUGUUUGUUCUUUACAUUGAAAGUACCCGGGAAAUCAAUACAGUUGGCCUACAAUCUGGUAGUAGUAUCAGUUGAAGUUGAAUCUCAUCAGGAUUGUAAAAAGCAAGCUCUGAUCUAGGUAUGGGGCUUAUUUCCUGCAGUUGCACAAUCAAACUGGUUAACAACAAAAUACAAAAUACAACUAUAAAACAGUUCCACUUUUGAUAGCUCCUAAAGCAGUGGUGUUCGCACCACUUCAGCAGAAUUGUAGCUAAUUUUUUGUUGCCCAGACCUAAAAUGGACUUCUGGAAACAGCAUCCACACAGAGAACCGUUUGUUCAUAUAUUUGAAUCCCACCACUAUCCUAAAGUAAUAACUGACAGGUACAAAAGACCUAGACAAAAGUCUAGAGCAGUGUUUCUCAACCUCAGCAACUUUAAGAUGUGUGGGUUUCAGCUCCCAGAAUUAACCAGCUAUGCAUGUCUGGGGAAUUCUGGGAGCUGAAGUCCAUACAUCUUGAGAAACACUGGUCUAAAAGGACCCUUUUUCUUAAGUGGCAGAAAAGUUUGGCUCCCAAGAAAUUAUUUUACAUUCGUUAUAAUCAUGGUAAGUGAAUGGCCUGAAGCUGAUAGAUGAACAUGAUGCUUUUUCAUGGAUGUGAACUCAGAUCUUCCUAGCCCAAAUUUAGCACACUUAUCACAAUUUGCUUUUAUGCAACUCACUAUUUUAUGUCAGGUGGUUGACUUAAUCAUUUGGCCAUUAUACUCUGUACUGGAAGACUAAAGCACUUGCAGUUAGCAUAUGUGUCAUUUUUACUUUUUUUCGCUACUGCAAAUUCAUUUAAUGUUCAGACUUACUGUGUCCUUCAGAUUAUAAAUUUGUAUUAUAGAUAAUACAAAUCAUGUUUAUGUGAAUAAUGUGGUUUAUGAUAACCCUAAAAUACAGCAACCAGAUUAAAGGAAUACAAAAUGGCAGCUGUUUCAGCUUUUAAGUGACAUAGUCUGUGUGACUGUAGAAAACCAAAAUUGCCCCAAAAGUCUAACAUGCUUUGGUUCAUAGUAUUGUGUAAACACCUACAAUCAGGUUAUUUCCAUAAACCAGGUUCAAUUAAUUAUAGGGUAAAUAUGUCAAAAUAAAAAGUGAUUUUUGAAACCACAAAGUGCAAUGUAAUGGGAAAUAAAAAUGGUGCUUCUUUGGA